rnacentral:lncRNA from 1 species
UAUGACUGAAAUCACAUAUUUGUUUUUCUCUGAUUGACUUAUUUCACUUAGCAGUAUAUCUUCUAGAUUCAUUCAUUGUUGCAAAUGGCAGGAUUUCAUUCUUUUUUCUAAUAUUCCAUCGUGUGUGUGUAUACAUACACAUAUGUACAUAAAUAUAUGCACACAUCACUUCUUUAUCCAUUCAUCUAACAAUGGGCAUUUGGGCUGCUUCCAUAACUUGGCUAUUAUAAAUUAUGCUGCAAUAAACAUACAGGUUGCAUAUAUCUUUUCAAACUAGUGUUUGUGUAUUCUUUGGGUAAAUACCCAAUAAUGGAAUUACUGGAUCAAAGGGUAGCUCUAUUUUUAACUUUUUAAGGAACUUCCAUACUGUUUUCCACAGUGGCUGCACCAGUUUGCAUUCCCCCAAUACUGGAUGAGGGUUCCUUUUUCUCCACAUCUUCAACACUUGUUGUUUCUUGUGUCUUUGAGUUUAGCCAUUCUUACAAGUGUAGGUGAUAGCUAACUGUGGUUUUGAAUUGUAUUUCCCUGAUGAUUAGUGAUGUUGAGCAUUUUUUCAUAAGUUUGUUUACCAUCUGGGUGUCUUCAUUGUAGAAAUGUCUGUUCCUGUCUUCUGUCAAUUUUUAAUUAGUUUUUUUUUUUUUUUUUUGGUGUUGAGUUGUAUAAGUUCCUUAUGUAUUUUGGAUACUCUUUGUUGGAUAAGUCAUUUAAAAUAUCUUCUCCCACUCUAUUGAUUGUCUUUCAGUCUUGUUCAUUGUUUCCUUUGCUGUGCAGAAGCUUUGUAUUUUGAUGUAGUCCUAAUAGUUUAUUUUUGCUUUUGUUACCCUUGCCUCAGGAGACCUAUCUAGAAAGAUGUUGCUAUGGCCAAUGUCAGAGAAAUUAAUUACUGCCUAUACUCUGUUCUGGGAUUUUCAUGAUUUCAGGCCUCACAUUUAGAUCUUUAGUCCACUUUGAGUUUAUUUCUGUGUAUGGUAUGAGGGAGUUGUCUGGUUUCAUUCUUUUGUAUACAGCUGUCCAGCUUUCCCAACACCAUUCAUUGAAGAAACUUUUUUCUCAUUGCAUAUUAUUGCCUCCUUUGUUGAAGAUUAAUUGACCACAGAAUUGUAGGCUUAUUUCUAGGUUUUCUAUUCUGUUCCAUUGAUCUAUGUGUCUAUUUUUGUGCCACUAUUACUAUUUUGGGUUUAACUUUAUUUUUUUAGUAGUCUCUACACCCAAUGUGAGCUUAAACUCACAACCCCGAGCUCAAGAGUCACCUGCUCUUCCAACUGAGCCAGCCAGGUCCCCCGGUACCAUAACACUGGUUUUAUUACUACAGCUUUAUAGUAUAUACUGAAAUCUGGGAUUGUGAUACCACCAAGUUUAGUUCUUUUUUUAAGAAUGCUUUGGCAAAAAAAAAAAAAAAAAGUAGAAUGCUUUGGCUAUUCAGGGUCUUCUGUGGUUUCACAGAAAUUUUAGUUAUUAUUUCUUCUAGUUCUGUGACAAAUGCUAUUAGUAUUUUGAUAGGGACUGCACUGAAUAUGUAUAUUGUUUUAGGUAGUAAGGACAUUUUAACAAUAUUUGUUCUUCCAAUUCAUGAGCAUGAAAGUUCUUUCCAUUUCUUUGUGUUGUCUUUAAUUUCUUUCAUCAAGAUUUUACAGUUUUCACACUACAAAUCUUUCAUCUCCUGGGUUAAAUUUAUUCUUAGGUAUUUUAUUAUUUUUAGUGCAAUUGUAAAUAGGAUAGUUUUCUUAAUUUCUCUGCCAACUCAUUAUUAGUGUAUAGAAAUGCAACAGAUUUCUGUAUAUUGAUCUUGUAUUCUGACCUUAACUGAAUUCAUUUAUUACUUCUAAUAGUUUCUCAGUAGAGUCUUUAGGGUUUUCUACAUAUAGUAACAUACCAUCUGCAAAUAGGGACAGUUUUACUUCUUAUCAAUUUGGAUACUUUUAUUUAUUUUUCUUGUCUGAUUGCUAUGGCUAGGACUUCUCUGUUGAGUAAAAGUGAUAAGAGUAGACAUCUUUGUCUUAUUCAUGAUCUUAGGGGAAAAGCUCUUAAUUUUUUUUUACCAUUGGGUAUGAUGUUAGCUGUCAGUUUUUCAUAUAGAGUAUGUUGAGGUAUGUUCCCUGUAAACCUACUUUGUUGAAAUUUUUUUUAUCAUGAAUGGAUGUUGUACUUAUAAUGAAAUGUAUUUGAGCAGCAUUUUCUUGACCAAUGUCACUUUAUAGAAGUGGUUCCCAAAUGGGGGCAACUGUGGACCCCAAGGGAAGACCCGUUUGGCUGUCAUACCUGCAGAGGUACUACUAGCAUCUAAUAAACAGAUAGACCAGGGCUUCGGCAAAGCAUAUCACAAUGUACAACAUAGCCCUCUUCUCACAAUAACCACAACAAAUACCAGUCCCAAGUAUCAAUAGUGCUGAAGUGAGAUAACCUGCUUCAAAGCAAAAACCAUUCAAAGCAUUGUUUUAAAUUGAGUUUUGAACCCAAUGAACUGUUUAUGUUUUUUAAAAAGGAAGAUCAUUCUAGACAAAAUCUGAACAGAAGUAGUCACAAUCUGAGAAAACUAAAGCAUGGCCCCAAAUGACAUGACUUGGAACAAUUUUAAACAUAUAAAAGGGGGACGCCUGGGUGGCUCAGCGGUUGAGCAUCUGCCUGUCACUCACAGCAUGAUCCCAGAGUCCCAGAAUUGAGUCCCACAUUGGGCUCCCUGUAUGGAGCCUGCUUCUCUCUCUGCCUAUGUCUCUGCCUCUCUCUGUGUCUCUCAAGAAUAAAUAAGUAAAAUCUUAAAAUAUAUAUAUAUAUAAAAGGUAUAUACAAAAAAAAUAAAAUAAAAGGUAUAUACAACGUUGUAAGUGGACAGAAUUUUGGCAUAAUUGUCUCCACUUAUAUUCAUUUUGAACUUUCAUUUUUAGACCUAGUACACAGUAGGUAUUCACCAAAUAUUUGAGGCAAAGAGGAAAGGAAAGAUCUAUCUUCUUGUACCAUACCCCAGGAUAUUUUAUAACAUUAAACCAAAUUAAUGGACUACAUUAUGUUAUUAGGUGUCCUCCAAAGUCCUCCCUUCCUCCAUAUUACUGAAAGGAAGCCAGCCAGCCAGAAUAAUUACCCAGUCUCCAACUCUACUGGGUGUGUACACAAAAGUUCUCCCUGACACACAUGAUGUUGCUUUUCUUCAUUCCCUCUCUUGCUCCCUUUACCAUAGGUUUAGGAUGCAGACAUGGCACUGACACAGUUUCAACCAUGCCAAAGAGUCUAAUACCCUAAGGAGAGCCAUAAGAUAGAUAUAAUUUGGGCUACUGAAUGACCUACUUGGCUUAGAACUACUUCUCCAGCACAGAUUGCUCACUUCCAGAAGGGUACAUGAGAAAUAAACUUCGUAUUUAACCUAUCAUACUUUGCGCCUCUUUGUUUCAGUCACUUAUACAAGGCAAUUCUAUAAUCUGAUAUCCCCUAUGACACAAAUACUAUAAAUGCAUUCUGUCUGAAAAAUUGUUAAACUGGUAAUUUAAAGAAGUUUCAGUGCAAAUAAUACUUGAAAAUCUGUGUUUUACAGUAACUAUAGGUUAUGAGGAAGAAAUGCCAUGUCAAUAAUACUGUUAAUUCUCAUUUAUCAAUCUAAAAGGAAAAAGAAGGCAUACAAGAAAUCUGGAUCUGAUUGCCCAAGGAAUUCAUAGUUUCAGUGAUGUAAUAUUUAUGUAAACUCACACUAAUGACAGCCAGCUGGACCCUGUAAAAUGUAGGCUGAAACACAAUUUUGACCCUAAAAUUCCGUAAUUAUAGCAUUUUCAUCUUCUUGUCCUUGUUUCCCUUUGAUUAAGGCACUGAUAAAAAUUCUAGAAGCAAGAAGGAAAAGAAGUGAAAGCCAGAAGAUUCCACAAACUAAACAGUAUCAAAUAGAUGAUCUCUUAACAGGUUAUAUAUUCAAAUUCUGAAUAUGCAAUUAAAUUUAAUUCAAACGGCUCUGUAUCUCUCAUGGUUUUCAGAAAAUGUAGCUGCUUCUCCUAGAGCACAUUCUCAAUUAAACUUCAGUUUUUUCUUCCAAACUUCAUUUGGCAUAUCUGUUUAGUCAAAGAUUUAUUCCUAAUUUUUGUGGAUGAGGGGCAAUCACUGAUAAAAUAUCUCUUAUGCAAUUAAAAUAUAUUUCAGUUAAGCAGUUCAUAUUUUACAAUAAUGCUACACUUAUUAAAAUAUAAUCUCCCCAACAAAAAUUAAUCUCCUGAAUAUUAUAUGUUAUAAAGUCAAGGACUUCUACUGGGAAAUAUUUUUACCUUAAACACGAAAGUAAUAAAAGUACCAAGAUACCUAUUAUAAUUUCAUAACAUCUUCCCCUCCAAAUCAUAUUUAUGAAUUGUUCUGAUAAGUUUAUUGCCAUUAAUCCAAUAAUCUACGUAAUUGUUUGUGAUAACUUGAAAAUCAAAAAAACCCAAGGGCCACCUGGGUGGCUUAGUCAGUUAAGCAUCUGGCUCUUGAUUCUGGCUCAGGUCACGAUGUCAGUGUCAUGAGAUCAAUCCCCGCACUGGGUUCCACACUGAGUGUCGAGCCUGCUUUGGAUUUUCGCCCUCCCUUCUGCCCAAUACGCCACCCCCUGCUGCCACUCACACUCUUAAAAAAAAAAAAAAAAAAAAAAAAAAAAACACAUCAGGGUAGCAUGAUUUAAAAGUAAAGCUUGGUCUAAAAUAUCUUUUUAAAGAUUCUAAAAUUCUAAAGGAUUUGAAUACCUCAUAACACAAUCAUUUCUAAAUUUUCAUAUAGUUCAUGGUAUAAAUUAGCUAUAUUUUUAAAGGAGUCACAAUUUAUAUAUUAAUUUUAAAAAUAUUUCCUACAUUCAGAGAAAUAUUACUUUUGACAUUUUUUUUAAAACAAGAUGUAUUUCUCUCCCAAUUGAAUAGCAAUAUACUGAUUGCUGAUUGAGCAGAUUUUGAAUUUUAAUUCAGGAAUAUCUUUAUCGCAUUAUAUGAAAUAAAAAUAAAAGUUUCACAUUCUCUCUCCUUCCCAUUUUUUUUAGCCAGCCACUAAUUUAUAUCCCAUUAGUAAAGCAAAAGGCAAUUAAACGACACAUCUGAACCCAAGUAAAUAAUACCCUAGUUUCAGUAGUUCCAGUGAAUGCACUCAAGGGAACAGUGAGUGACCACAGUGAGUCUACGAUGGCUAUGACAAAUAUAGGAAAAUGGUAUCAUCUACUCUUAAAAUUAUCUAAACAAAUCAAUCACAAUUCUCAAAAUUUUAAAAAUGACAAAAAGCUUUAAGAAUCUCCAAACAUACCAAGUUCAUGGAUGCUACAUUUUCUACCGGAGAUGAAGUCACCAUCUCCCUGGGCUUCCUUUUUGUUUGUCUAGAUUUUAAUCUAUA